AAUGAACGCUGGCGGCAUGCCUAACACAUGCAAGUCGAACGAAGGCUUCGGCCUUAGUGGCGCACGGGUGCGUAACGCGUGGGAAUCUGCCCUCAGGUUCGGAAUAACAGCGAGAAAUUGCUGCUAAUACCGGAUGAUAUCGCGAGAUCAAAGAUUUAUCGCCUGAGGAUGAGCCCGCGUAGGAUUAGCUAGUUGGUGUGGUAAAGGCGCACCAAGGCGACGAUCCUUAGCUGGUCUGAGAGGAUGAUCAGCCACACUGGGACUGAGACACGGCCCAGACUCCUACGGGAGGCAGCAGUGGGGAAUAUUGGACAAUGGGCGAAAGCCUGAUCCAGCAAUGCCGCGUGAGUGAUGAAGGCCUUAGGGUUGUAAAGCUCUUUUACCCGGGAUGAUAAUGACAGUACCGGGAGAAUAAGCUCCGGCUAACUCUGUGCCAGCAGCCGCCGUAA
rnacentral:rRNA from 1 species